UACGGAGGGAGCUAGCGUUGUUCGGAAUUACUGGGCGUAAAGCGCGCGUAGGCGGUUACUCAAGUCAGAGGUGAAAGCCCGGAGCUCAACUCCGGAACUGCCUUUGAAACUAGGUGACUAGAAUCUUGGAGAGGCGAGUGGAAUUCCGAGUGUAGAGGUGAAAUUCGUAGAUAUUCGGAAGAACACCAGUGGCGAAGGCGACUCGCUGGACAAGUAUUGACGCUGAGGUGCGAAAGCGUGGGGAGCAAACAGG
rnacentral:rRNA from 2 species